rnacentral:sRNA from 1 species
UUGUAUAGUAAGUUUAUUGUAUAGUACUUGUAAGUAUAUUCGUAAAAGGUAAAACCAAAAUUUUACUCCUAUGGUAAAAUUUUUAUAUACCUAGACAUUGUAGUCACUGGAAAAUGUGUUAUUUUCCCUCCAACUUAGAAAGGCAAAAUAGCUGUCAUAAUAAAAAAUACAGGUGCUUCUUCAACUAUGGGGAGAGGGAUCAUCUUGGAAUAAGGAGAGUUUUAGGAUCCUGCCUUAUUAAGAACCUGGACAUAUUUAUAGAGGAAGUGUUCCAGGUAGGAAAUAUGGUUUUAAAAUAUGUGCACAUUCAAAAUAAUGACUUGCAAUAUACUUGCUUUGCUAGGAAACUGAAUAAAAUUACAAAAUUUAUUGAGGAGAAUAAAGAAAAAUUUACACAGCUAGAUUUGGAAGAUGUUCAAGUUAGAGAAAAAUUAAAACAUGCCACGAGUAAAGCCAAAAAACUGGAAAAACAACUUCAAAAAGAUAAAGAAAAGGUUGAAGAAUUUAAAAGUAUACCUGCCAAGAGUAACAAUAUCAUUAAUGAAACAACAACCAGAAACAAUGCCCUCGAGAAGGAAAAAGAGAAAGAAGAAAAAAAAUUAAAGGAAGUUAUGGAUAGCCUUAAACAGGAAACACAAGGGCUUCAGAAAGAAAAAGAAAGUCGAGAGAAAGAACUUAUGGGUUUCAGCAAAUCGGUAAAUGAAGCACGUUCAAAGAUGGAUGUAGCCCAGUCAGAACUUGAUAUCUAUCUCAGUCGUCAUAAUACUGCAGUGUCUCAAUUAACUAAGGCUAAGGAAGCUCUAAUUGCAGCUUCUGAGACUCUCAAAGAAAGGAAAGCUGCAAUCAGAGAUAUAGAAGGAAAACUCCCUCAAACUGAACAAGAAUUAAAGGAGAAAGAAAAAGAACUUCAAAAACUUACACAAGAAGAAACAAACUUUAAAAGUUUGGUUCAUGAUCUCUUUCAAAAAGUUGAAGAAGCAAAGAGCUCAUUAGCAAUGAAUCGAAGUAGGGGGAAAGUCCUUGAUGCAAUAAUUCAAGAAAAAAAAUCUGGCAGGAUUCCAGGAAUAUAUGGAAGAUUGGGGGACUUAGGAGCCAUUGAUGAAAAAUACGAUGUGGCUAUAUCAUCCUGUUGUCAUGCACUGGACUACAUUGUUGUUGAUUCUAUUGAUACAGCCCAAGAAUGUGUAAACUUCCUUAAAAGACAAAAUAUUGGAGUUGCAACCUUUAUAGGUUUAGAUAAGAUGGCUGUAUGGGCGAAAAAGAUGACCGAAAUUCAAACUCCUGAAAAUACUCCUCGUUUAUUUGAUUUAGUAAAAGUAAAAGAUGAGAAAAUUCGCCAAGCUUUUUAUUUUGCUUUACGAGAUACCUUAGUAGCUGACAACUUGGAUCAAGCCACAAGAGUAGCAUAUCAAAAAGAUAGAAGAUGGAGAGUGGUAACUUUACAGGGACAAAUCAUAGAACAGUCAGGUACAAUGACUGGUGGUGGAAGCAAAGUAAUGAAAGGAAGAAUGGGUUCCUCACUUGUUAUUGAAAUCUCUGAAGAAGAGGUAAACAAAAUGGAAUCACAGUUGCAAAACGACUCUAAAAAAGCAAUGCAAAUCCAAGAACAGAAAGUACAACUUGAAGAAAGAGUAGUUAAGUUACGGCAUAGUGAACGAGAAAUGAGGAACACACUAGAAAAAUUUACUGCAAGCAUCCAGCGUUUAAUAGAGCAAGAAGAAUAUUUGAAUGUCCAAGUUAAGGAACUUGAAGCUAAUGUACUUGCUACAGCCCCUGACAAAAAAAAGCAGAAAUUGCUAGAAGAAAACGUUAGUGCUUUCAAAACAGAAUAUGAUGCUGUGGCUGAGAAAGCUGGUAAAGUAGAAGCUGAGGUUAAACGCUUACACAAUACCAUCGUAGAAAUCAAUAAUCAUAAACUCAAGGCCCAACAAGACAAACUUGAUAAAAUAAAUAAGCAAUUAGAUGAAUGUGCUUCUGCUAUUACUAAAGCCCAAGUAGCAAUCAAGACUGCUGACAGAAACCUUCAAAAGGCACAAGACUCUGUCUUGCGUACAGAGAAAGAAAUAAAAGAUACUGAGAAAGAGGUGGAUGACCUAACAGCAGAGCUGAAAAGUCUUGAGGACAAAGCAGCAGAGGUCAUAAAGAAUACAAAUGCUGCAGAGGAAUCCUUACCAGAGAUCCAGAAAGAACAUCGCAAUCUGCUUCAAGAAUUAAAAGUUAUUCAAGAAAAUGAACAUGCUCUUCAAAAAGAUGCACUUAGUAUUAAGUUGAAACUUGAACAAAUAGAUGGUCACAUUGCUGAACAUAAUUCUAAAAUAAAAUAUUGGCACAAAGAGAUUUCAAAAAUAUCACUGCAUCCUAUAGAAGAUAAUCCUAUUGAAGAGAUUUCAGUUCUAAGCCCAGAGGAUCUUGAAGCGAUCAAGAAUCCAGAUUCUAUAACAAAUCAAAUUGCACUUUUGGAAGCCCGGUGUCAUGAAAUGAAACCAAACCUCGGUGCCAUCGCAGAGUAUAAAAAGAAGGAAGAAUUGUAUUUGCAACGGGUAGCAGAAUUGGACAAAAUUACUUAUGAAAGAGACAAUUUUAGGCAGGCAUAUGAAGAUCUUCGGAAACAAAGGCUUAAUGAAUUUAUGGCAGGUUUUUAUAUAAUAACAAAUAAAUUAAAGGAAAAUUACCAAAUGCUUACUUUGGGAGGGGACGCUGAACUCGAGCUUGUAGACAGCUUGGAUCCUUUCUCUGAAGGAAUCAUGUUCAGUGUUCGACCACCUAAGAAAAGUUGGAAAAAGAUCUUCAACCUUUCGGGAGGAGAGAAAACACUUAGUUCAUUGGCUUUAGUAUUUGCUCUUCACCACUACAAGCCCACUCCCCUUUACUUCAUGGAUGAGAUUGAUGCAGCCCUUGAUUUUAAAAAUGUGUCCAUUGUUGCAUUUUAUAUAUAUGAACAAACAAAAAAUGCACAGUUCAUAAUAAUUUCUCUUCGAAAUAAUAUGUUUGAGAUUUCAGAUAGACUUAUUGGAAUUUACAAGACAUACAACAUAACAAAAAGUGUUGCUGUAAAUCCAAAAGAAAUUGCAUCUAAGGGACUUUGUUGAACUUUAUGCUGAAGAUUCUUCAAGUUGAUUCAGUGUAUUACUGAUUUUUUUCUAUUUGUAAAGGAUUAUGAGUUGUAUAAAAUACAUACUCCUUAAACUAGAUCAUGAAACUGGUUUCUGUUUUAUGCAGCUGUCAUUUGUAAAGUCUAAUAAAAUAUUCUCUAUAAUUGCUUCUAGAUUACAAAAAUAUGACAAUCUUGUAAGUAGCAGACUAUGGAGAAAAAUGAGUUACCUGGAGGGUCAGGUAACUUGCCAAACUAAAAAGUAUGUUUGUUGAGGCAAAGUCCUAAGCAAGGUUGUGCUAUCAAGGCUCAGCAUAUCUUCGUGGGCCUUUGAUUUACCAACACUGGAAACGCCUGCCAACUAAUCUUGGAUAGAUUCUUUAAGGCAUUCCACUUAGCUUGCCAGUUGAGACAGUCACCACAGUUAUUACCCAAAUACUAUGAACAUAUUUUUGUAAACCAGUCAUUCUGAAUUAUAGUGAUGAGAAUUUAAAUAUAUGCUUUUCUAGAAUUUGAUGUUUGACCAUUUAUGACUUAAUUACCAGACAGCCAGUAAAUUAGGACAGUGUUUCAACAAGCCUAGGCUAUCUCGUAAGUUGAAAAAUAUCCCACUAUAGUUGCUUCAUGAGUAUGAAGUAAGAUGGCCUCUGAACACUGGUUCAAUUUACAAAUUUUCAACUUUAUGAUAGGUUUAUCUGGGUACUAAAUGCAUUUCAACUUGAUAGUUUCAACUUAUGAUAGGUUUACCAGGAUGUAGUCCCACUGUUGAGGAGCAUCUGUAUUUAGGGGUUAAUUACUUUAGUAAUAAGUGGAAAGUAAGAUACCUUGAGUAGUGUUUGCCUAUAAAAUUGUCAGCGUAUUUUUACACUAUUGGCUCAAGAAUGUUAUAAUGCUAUGGGACAUAAGUUGGCAACCAGUUGGUUUUUGGAAGGACUUUCGGUAUUGUAUUAGAAGUCUGCCCUAGCUGUUAAAUUUCUGGGUAUUUAUCCUAAGGAAUUAAUUAAAGAGUUAACUGUUCCUUUCUUCAGUGGGCCAUGUUUUAGAUAUUUAAAAAAUCCAACAGUUUAUCAUCACGUAACUGUAAAAAUGUAAACACAUUAUUAGCAUGGACUUUUAAAUAAAGAUUUAAAGAAAGCAAG